ensembl:lincRNA
GUCCUUAGAAAAUGGUCUUAAGCUACCUACUUUUGGGACUAACUAAAUGUCUGAGAGAUUCUUCAGAACAAAGAUGACUGAGAUAUUUUCUGAUUGCUUGAGGUGAUUUUUCUUGAGCAGAAGAUAUUUCUUUAAAAGUUCUUUUAUAACUAUGUAUUUGUAAUCUAAUCAUAUUCCAAGCCUACUACAAAAUCUUACUAUUUAGAGAAACUCUCAAGCAAGUGUCCUAGGCAAAAGUCAUCUUAAUUAAUCACAACUCAGUUUAGUUCUUUUUAUAAUAUUUCCCCCAAAGCAGGAUAUUUCUGCUUUGUAUUUUACAUAAAAUUAGAUAUUUGAAAAUGCACAGAUAUAAUUGUUUUUCUUUUUUAUUUAUAGUUGUCUAUACAUUGCACUUGCCCUGUACUUAUCAAACCCGGAAUGAGUCUCUAAAACAUCUUUUUGAUCUAAUAGUGCAGACCCUGAAGUUUGAAACUGGACAGGAGCUCACUGUGUUCUGGAGAUCUAUAGAACAUACAGCAUCCUGAUUAUUCACCUUCGAGCAUCUCACAAGUUCAUCAGCUUUGCUGGAUUAAGGUGCAAAACCACUGAAAGACAACUGAAACAAUUCCUUCUAAAAUUGGAACAGAUUUAGUAUGUAAACAGAUCAUUACAUCUAUUCAGCUUGGUAUUGAAAUGCUCAAUAUUACUCAUCCUGCUUGAGAAGAUUCCUAUUUUGACAAAUCUACAUCUCAUCUAAAAGCAAGCAAAAUGGAAACUCUUAAAUAGGUUCUCUAGUGCUCUUGACAGUUGUUGGCACAAAUAUAGGUCCUCAUCAAUCACUCAUUUGCACCGUACAUCCAGCCCUGGUAAAAUAAAUUAGCUGGCUGUCAAGAAAGGAAAAACUAACUAACCGAAUAAAUAAAUAAUUCUUUUAAAACUGAAUUAUGCAGUAGUUUCAUUCCUGUCCCUAGCGUGGAAAGAAGAAGGUCUUUAAGAGAAAUGUGUAGAAGUAAAGAUACUCCGCUCCAUGGCGUUCAGAAUAUUUCUAAUAAAAGCGAGGAAUGGGAAAAGUGGCACGUUUGACCUGAAUCAUCACAGAAGAAUCCAUUUAUCCACAGCACGGUUAAGAGAUGGUGUGGCCCCUAUCUUGAUUCACCUUAAUCCAGCAAAGUUAAUAAUAGUAGAAUAAUAGUAUCUAUUUUACCAGGCAUACAAUGGACAGGGCUACCAGUUAGAUGAUGAUGGUCAGGAUUUAGGCUGUUAGCUUCCUUAUUGCAUGCUUCUCAAAAGCAAGUUGUUUUGGUAAUUUUUGUUCACAUCCAUAGUCCCUAACACAGAAGUGUGUGUGUGUGUGUGUGUGUGUGAUUUGCUUGUUCAUGUAGUUAAGACACUGCUGGCAGUUAUUACAUUUGUUUACAAAAGUCUCAUCAUAUCUGCCAAGGAUAAAUAAGUCAUUAACAAUAUUUUAAACUAAAUAACAUAUAUAAAAGCUCACUUUAAAUCACUCAAAUGUACAGUAAUAGAAACUAAGAUAAUCAAGAUAAUAGUAGAAAUACUUAAAAAAUAGAAAAGUACCUGGUCGAUGCAAUGGUACCAUGGGCAAUAAUGUAGCUCCGAAGCUCCCAUUGGAUUCAUAGUCCUUCAACUCUCUGACACUUCUGCCAUGUCCAGUAUUUCAUUUUUUAAAAACUCAAUCACAAGUAUCUUA